GAAAUGCGAUAAGUAAUGUGAAUUGCAGAAUUCAGUGAAUCAUCGAAUCUUUGAACGCACAUUGCGCCCGCCAGUAUUCUGGCGGGCAUGCCUGUUCGAGCGUCAUUUCAACCCUCGGGCCCCCCCUUCCGGGGCGUGGCCCGGCCUUGGGGAUCGGCCGCCAGCCCAGGCGCGCCGGCCCCGAAAUGGAGUGGCGGCCCGUCCGCGGCGACCUCUGCGCAGUACAACUACCUCGCACCGGGCGCCCGACGCGGCCACGCCGUAAAACACCCCCCUUCUGAACGUUGACCUCGGAUCAGGCAGGAAUACCCGCUGAACUUAA
rnacentral:misc_RNA from 1 species